CCGUAGGGGAACCUGCGGAGGGAUCAUUACCGAGUUUACAACUCCCAAACCCAAUGUGAACCAUACCAAACUGUUGCCUCGGCGGGGUCACGCCCCGGGCGCGUCGCAGCCCCGGAACCAGGCGCCCGCCGGAGGGACCAACCAAACUCUUUACUGUAGUCCCCUCGCGGACGUUAUUUCUUACAGCUCUGAGCAAAAAUUCAAAAUGAAUCAAAACUUUCAACAACGGAUCUCUUGGUUCUGGCAUCGAUGAAGAACGCAGCGAAAUGCGAUAAGUAAUGUGAAUUGCAGAAUUCAGUGAAUCAUCGAAUCUUUGAACGCACAUUGCGCCCGCCAGUAUUCUGGCGGGCAUGCCUGUCCGAGCGUCAUUUCAACCCUCGAACCCCUCCGGGGGGUCGGCGUUGGGGACCUCGGGAGCCCCUAAGACGGGAUCCCGGCCCCGAAAUACAGUGGCGGUCUCGCCGCAGCCUCUCCUGCGCAGUAGUUUGCACAACUCGCACCGGGAGCGCGGCGCGUCCACGUCCGUAAAACACCCAACUUCUGAAAUGUUGACCUCGGAUCAGGUAGGAAUACCCGCUGAACUUAAGCAUAUCAAUAAGCG
rnacentral:rRNA from 1 species